rnacentral:rRNA from 1 species
CGCUGGCGGCGCGCCUAACACAUGCAAGUCGAACGAGCGAGAGAGAGCUUGCUUUCUCGAGCGAGUGGCGAACGGGUGAGUAACGCGUGAGGAACCUGCCUCAAAGAGGGGGACAACAGUUGGAAACGACUGCUAAUACCGCAUAAGCCCACGGCUCGGCAUCGAGCAGAGGGAAAAGGAGUGAUCCGCUUUGAGAUGGCCUCGCGUCCGAUUAGCUAGUUGGUGAGGUAACGGCCCACCAAGGCGACGAUCGGUAGCCGGACUGAGAGGUUGAAACGGCCACAUUGGGACUGAGACACGGCCCAGACUCCUACGGGAGGCAGCAGUGGGGAAUAUUGCACAAUGGGGGAAACCCUGAUGCAGCGACGCCGCGUGGAGGAAGAAGGUCUUCGGAUUGUAAACUCCUGUUGUUGAGGAAGAUAAUGACGGUACUCAACAAGGAAGUGACGGCUAACUACGUG